rnacentral:rRNA from 1 species
UACGAAGGGUGCAAGCGUUACUCGGAAUUACUGGGCGUAAAGCGUGCGUAGGUGGUUUGUUAAGUCUGAUGUGAAAGCCCUGGGCUCAACCUGGGAAUUGCAUUGGAUACUGGCAGGCUGGAGUGCGGUAGAGGAUGGCGGAAUUCCCGGUGUAGCAGUGAAAUGCGUAGAGAUCGGGAGGAACACCGGUGGCGAAGGCGGGAUCCUGGGCCAGUACUGACGCUGAGGAGCGAAAGCGUGGGGAGCAAACAGG